rnacentral:rRNA from 1 species
CACGGGGGGAGCAAGCGUUGUUCGGAAUCACUGGGCGUAAAGGGCGCGUAGGCGGCCUGGUAAGUAGGGGGUGAAAUCCUGCGGCUUAACCGCAGGGCUGCCUUCUAAACUGUCAGGCUCGAGCACGGUAGAGGCAGAUGGAAUUCCCGGUGUAGCGGUGGAAUGCGUAGAGAUCGGGAAGAACAUCAGUGGCGAAGGCGGUCUGCUGGGCCGUUGCUGACGCUGAGGCGCGACAGCGUGGGGAGCAAACAGG